rnacentral:lncRNA from 1 species
GUUCUCCUCGGGACUCUUUUAUUUCUUCCUUGUGGUUUUCUAUUGGCAGGGCCUCCUUCAGUUUCUUGCCUUGGAGUGUAGCGAGGAAGCACUGCUGAGCAAGCAUUUGAUCUCCUCGAAUUUCUCCAACCCCAUAUCGGAUCAGAAACUUGACCAUCAGAUGAUAUGUGGAGAUGAUUGCUCGAAAUGCAUUAAGUCCAGAUCAUCCUAGGAUUAAGUUGUAAGUAGAGGACACUCGAAUGACUAGGAAAGUCAGCUACUCAAUUUGUUGCCGUGGCUCCAUUCCAACAGUCACUGAGAGAGUGAUUUUUCCUUCUACUGUCAUGGAGUCUCUUGAAAAUCUGAC